CCUACGGGUGGCAGCAGUGGGGAAUAUUGCGCAAUGGGCGAAAGCCUGACGCAGCGACGCCGCGUGAGGGAUGAAGGUCUUCGGAUCGUAAACCUCUGUCAGCAGGGAAGAACGGUCACUGUGCUAAUCAGCAGUGAAUUGACGGUACCUGCAAAGGAAGCACCGGCUAACUCCGUGCCAGCAGCCGCGGUAAUACGGAGGGUGCGAGCGUUAAUCGGAAUUACUGGGCGUAAAGCGCGCGUAGGCGGUAUGUCAAGUCAAGGGUGAAAUCCCCGAGCUUAACGUUGGAACUGCCUUUGAAACUGGCAAACUGGAGUGUGUGAGAGGAUAGUGGAAGUCAAGGUGUAGGAGUGAAAUCCGUAGAUAUCUGGAGGAACACCAGUUGCGAAGGCGACUAUCUGGAACAUAACUGACGCUGAGGAGCGAAAGCGUGGGUAGCAAACAGGAUUAGAUACCCCAGUAGUC
rnacentral:rRNA from 1 species